AUGUCUUUUUUUUUGAAAGAUCCAGCUGAUUGCUGGCUUGUAUUGAUUAAUAGCAGGGAGCAGGUGACAAAAACAUCAAGUGCGAGUAGUGAUCCGAGGAUCAAAGGGAGAAAAACAAAAGAUACAGGGCAGGUGUUAUGGCUAUUGUCUCAGGGCAAGGAGUGCUCCAAAAAUGUUGCUCCUGCUUGUCGCCAAAAUUCUAGCGUUCGUUGGACGGCUGUUGUGAUGCUAUCUCUCGUCGCCAUCUUGCCUCCGAAGGUGCUCUCGUUUCGAGCCUUCCAAAUCCCAGAGAGGAUUAGGAUGAUUGUUGUCUUGAUGGCUUUUUUGUGCUCGGGCCGCGCUGCACCGAUCAUUUCAGCGAUGAUGGCCGUCGGCUUAGUCUUGCUUUGCCACCGCAGAGGGUGGAGUGAGCUGCAUCCCCCUCUCGCCGCUGCAGUCGUCCAGACUUCAAUCGACAGUGGGCAUUGCCAGAACAAGUGCAUGGAUGACUCCAAGUUCCGGACGCAUAGCUGA
rnacentral:rRNA from 1 species